rnacentral:rRNA from 1 species
UACAGAGGGGGCAAGCGUUGUUCGGAAUUACUGGGCGUAAAGGGCGCGUAGGCGGCCUGCUAAGUCGAACGUGAAAUCCCCGGGCUCAACCCGGGAACUGCGUCCGAUACUGGUGGGCUUGAAUCCGGGAGAGGGAUGUGGAAUUCCAGGUGUAGCGGUGAAAUGCGUAGAUAUGUGGAGGAAUACCGAUGGCGAAGGCAGCCCCCUGGGAUAACACUGACGCUCAUGCACGAAAGCGUGGGGAGCAAACAGG